UGUCUUCUCCCCCCCCCCCCACCUUUGGAGCUGAGGACCGAACCCAGGACCUUGCACUUGCUAGGCAAGCGCUCUACCACUGAGCUAAAUCCCCAACCCCAAAACGGUGUCUUAAAAAAGAAAACAAAACCUGUGGAAAGCGAUCGAAGAAGACACCAAAUAGUUUCUGGUCUCUCUGUACAUGAGUACAUACACUCACACACACACCUGUACACAGAUACAAAUCAAAGUCAGUUGAAGGCCAUUGUGGGUGAGAUGAGACCAUCUAGCUAGACAGCUAAAGACUGAUGAGGCAGUGGGUAAGAUGUGCUGACUGUACAAGCCUCAGUUGGGAGUCAGACCCUACAGACACAGUAACAAAUGCUUACAAUUCCAGCGCUUGCUUCUAAAAGGAAAUGAGAGGCUAAGUUAAGGACAGCUAGCCGGGCAUCCACAGCAAGGACAGGCCUUGUCUCAAAGAAGGUCAAAGAUGAAGGCUGACACCUCUGGUCUCCACAUGUGGGCAAUGACACACAGUGAACACUCACGCAACAAAGAACAGGGGCCAGCACGCAGAUGGACACCUGUAGUCCCAGCACAUAGGAGGACCAGGCCUUCAAGACUAUUCUCUACUAUAUGGUCACCCUGCCAGGCCUUUCCAGGGACCAAGACCAUUACCAAGCCAUUUUCUGGUAUCUUCUCCAGGGUGACUGGGAUUCGCUGUGUGUGUACCCACAUGAGCGUGAUGAGAGUGUGUGUUGGGGACAGGGUAACUAUAUAGCUGGACACGGCAACAGCACACCAACCUCCAUAUUCAAGUUUCUUCAGAUUUUUUUUUAAUUAUAAUUAUUAUUUUAAUAACAACCUGAAUCCAAGAAGUUGAAGAUACUGUCCAUACCCCCUCCCUGGGCAGAGGAGAGGGGGCACUUGAAGAGAACAAGGUGGGAUGGUGAGGGGGCCUGCCAGGGAACCUCCAAAUCUUUCUGAGCCAUCUGCUGCUGAGGGGCUCCCCAGAACACUGAUUCCCAGGGAAGGAGGUGGGGCUGGGUUCUUUCAUGGAUGAGGGGCUUCAGAUAAACAUCCCCUCCUGGGUUCUUUCUCUUCCGGCAAGGCCUGAGGCUUCUGGGGAGACCAGGUGGGAAGGGACAGGCCAAUAUUUAGCCUCAACUCCCAUCCCUGGGCAUUGGGGUC